rnacentral:misc_RNA from 1 species
GCUUAAGGUUGAGUGGUUGAGUCUCCUUCAUGUUGGUGGCGCUGUAGUGAAGAGGUGAUUGUGUCUUCAACCUUUUGUUUAGGAUUUUUGAGUGCAGAGGCUAGACAGAAGAGAUUAUUAUUUAGGCUGUAAUGUACCAAACUAAACUUUGGGCCUUCUUUUGAUAUUGUUUUAUGUUUCUGACUCAUUCAACGUAAGUGUAUCCUAUGGCCCUUAUUUAUGCAAA